rnacentral:ncRNA from 1 species
CAAAGGCUUGGUCCUGACUUUAACAUCAACUUUAGCUAUACUUACACAUGCAAGUAUCCGCACCCCUGUGAGAAUGCCCCCCAGUUCCCCGUCCGGGAACAAGGAGCUGGUAUCAGGCACACUUUGAAGCCCACGACGCCUUGCUUAGCCACACCCCCAAGGGAAUUCAGCAGUGACAAACAUUAAGCUAUAAGUGAAAACUUGACUUAGUUAAAGCUAAGAGGGCCGGUAAAACUCGUGCCAGCCACCGCGGUUAUACGAGAGGCCCAAGUUGAUGAACAUCGGCGUAAAGAGUGGUUAAGCUAAAAUUAAAACUAAAGCCGAACGUCCCCAAAGCUGUUAUACGCACCCGGGGGUAAGAAGUUCAACCACGAAGGUGGCUUUAUUAAACCUGAACCCACGAAAGCUACGGCACAAACUGGGAUUAGAUACCCCACUAUGCCUAGCCCUAAACAUUGAUAGAAUUUUACAACCUCUAUCCGCCCGGGGACUACAAGCAUCAGCUUGAAACCCAAAGGACUUGGCGGUGCUUUAGAUCCACCUAGAGGAGCCUGUUCUAGAACCGAUAACCCCCGUUCAACCUCACCCCUCUUUGUUAAUACCGCCUAUAUACCACCGUCGUCAGCUUACCCUGUGAGGGAUCAAUAGUAAGCUUAACUGGUACAACCCUAAACGUCAGGUCGAGGUGUAGCGUAUGGAGGGGGAAGAAAUGGGCUACAUUCGCUACAACAGCGAACACGAAUGAUGUCCUGAAACGUACAUCUGAAGGAGGAUUUAGCAGUAAGUAGAAAAUAGAGUGUUCUACUGAAAUUGGCCCUGAAGCGCGCACACAUCGCCCGUCACUCUCCCCGAGCCUAAUAAUACAAUUAACUAAAAACUAAUAAUUGCAAAGGGGAGGCAAGUCGUAACAUAGUAAGUGUACCGGAAGGUGCACUUGGAAAAG